GAGAGAGAGCAUGUCGACGCAGGUUGGCUGCCUGGCUUCAUCUCAACGUUUGACCUGUCUGGAGCGUGGCAGCUUACGUGCAACAGCUGGAUAACGGGCAAACGAUUCACGACUGGACUGAACAACGGGCCGCGUUUAGUAAAUCCCACCUUUUUAAUGUAUUGAUAAUUCUACUUUUUAUUCUCCAAUAAAAGGAAAACAAAAAAAAAAAAACCCGCGUCAGUAAUUGUUUUAUUGUGAAGGGGCUAUCCGGACGUCGGAGAUUCUACACUAAACAGUUUGACACUGCUGCUAUCAGAGUAGUGUGUUCCUGGAAAGUCUGUGGAUUUUUAUUUAAUUUUAGGUGUUCUCUCCGUGUAGUGUUCCCGGGAUUUGUUAGAGUAGAUGGGUUGUUGAAAGAGAUGCAGGCUGGGACGAAUUCUUAACGGGACGUUUAAAAACGCUACGAGCUCUCUCGUCCGGUUGUUAUGGAGCAGCCACCUGGGAGCUUAGCUGAUCUACAGCCUCAAGACCUCUCCACCUCCGGUAUCCCCAGUGUGAUAGAUCUGACCAGGAAAGGUGAGGAAUGUGUCCUCAACGCCACAUCUCUCGAUGCCCUGCGGAUGGUAAAGAGCCCGAGCUGGUACCCAAACUCCGGGACCAGCAACUCAGGAUUACCCUUCUCAGAGACUGGCUCCUCGGACAUGACACCGCAGUCAGGGGAUCAUAUUCAACCAGACAAUGCCUUCUCCCACACUACAGUCACCCUCUCCUACGUGAGCAGGUCUCACGUCUUCUCCACUCAAGACUCCCUGUCUCGACACUCCCCUCUGCAUGGUAUGCUGCCCAUUAGCAAGUUCUCCCUCCACCCUUCAUGUGACUCAGAUAAAGGGCUUGGGGAGACUGGCUAUUCACUGAACCAGCAUUACUUGGAGCAGGUUGAGGGGCCAGUGGACCUCGUCACUCAGACAGAACUUUUGCAGUCAUUGUCUCAGGCUCAGGUGGAACCAGAGAACUAUGGGGGAGUAUGUCUAACACAGGAGCCUCAUGAGUUUAAUGGUGAGGUGGUUUCCAGUGAUGGGGACGUGGACAAGCAUGUACAAGGUGAAGAGAAAGUGGAACGCAGUCUUUCUUGGGAUAACAGUACUGGUUUGGAGAAUGGCCGAGGUGAUAGCCGGUCCAGUUCAGGAGUAUGUGCUGAAUCCUCACCAGAGACUCACACCCCUACCACAGUAGAGGAUGAGGAGGGGGGGGGCUCUGAGGUGCUCUUUCUCAUGUCAAAAAAACAGGACCCAGUGGUAGUCCUGGACAGCGUGGGUGCUAGAGACCUGUGUUCACUGAGCAGGGAGUACAUCAGUCCUCUGGAGGACCCCGUCUCCCCCUCCGCUACCUCACUGGACUAUGUGGAGGAUGUGUUCAUUCUGCCUCAGGCCUCCAGCUCGCCGAGCGGCGACAACUCUUAUCUAGAGAGAGCUGAGGAGGUUGCGUGUGACGGCCUGAGUACAGAAGGGCCCAUUCAGCCCGGCUCUGCCAUCAGCGAUAGUACCACAAGGUUGGAUUCGAGCGAUGAAAAUAAGCAGCCUGUCCAUACGCAGAAGACAGUGAUAGAGCCUUUGAUUGACUUCACAGAUGAUGUUUGUGUGUCCAAUGUUGCGGAGGAAAAACCCAGGACUGUCAUUCCCCACAUGAAUGGGAAUGCAAAGGCACUACAGAGAACUUUAAAAGAAAAAAAGCUACCAUUGCGUUCCAGCAGAGGGACGCGGUUAGAAGCUAUAGUUAUGAACAUAAAUUCAAGCAGGUAUAAAGUAUCAGGAUGCAUACGUACCAAUAAGAAAGCCAGUGCUUCCCAGUCAGCAGCUAGUGAUUCUAACAGUCACAAGAUGAGCGACACCCUGUCAGUAGGAAAAAGGAAAACCAGAGCAAGAACCUCUUUCUCAGUGAAAACAAUAAAACACAAAGUAAUCCCAGUGAAAAGGGGUAAAACUAAUAACAGUAACAAUGACCUUUGCAAAGACUCUACCUCUGAUUCUGAAACCCUCAGUAAUUCUAAAAAGUCACAUAGCAGCACACCUCCAAAAAGUCCUCAGUUUGCCGUGCACAAGAGGUCAACGAAAGAGCCAGAGGUUGCUUCACACUCUGUACCCUCACCACAGACUAACCCUGCAAAGUCCAAGAGGAAACCCUCACCACAGUCAAGUCCUCAUUCUGCUGUGCACAGGAACUCAAAGAAGGAGCCAGAGCUUCUGUCACAGCCUGACCCCUCAGUGGAAAUUCACGUGGCAAGACUUUCCUCACCAACGCCAGCGAGAUCUCCAAAGAAAAAUCAAGGAAAAGCCAAAGGCAAGGCUACAGGUAGCAAAACAUCUCCCACAGCCAAGACAAAGGCAGCUCGCACUCCCAAGAGGAGGCGAAAGAAACACAAAGGCAGCCACUCUUCCUCCAUGUUCUCCCCCAAGGAGCCGGAGAUCAAGUUGAAGUACGUCAACUACAAGGAGGAGAAAAGGGACCUGAGGUUAGACAGUUUCUCUCCAUUCAUUCGCGUGGAGCGGCGGCAAUCAUCGCCAACACUGUGUACUGUAAUCAACUACGCUGAGGAGGUGAGGACGCAACUCAAGAAGGGCCAGCAGCAGCAGGCUCACCCCAGUGGCUUUAUUUCUGGAGUUGUACCCAGCACUUCUUGCCUCCAGCUGGGCCGGGCGUCCACGCACAGCCAGCACCAGCGCUCUCUUGUCUGCUGCCUGUGUGGGCAGUCAGCCAACGCUAUGGACUUGGGGGACCUCCACGGCCCUUACUACCCCGAGGGGUACCAGCCAAGUACCAAAACAACAGCCAGCACAUCGGGCCUCAAAGAAGACGAGGACGACUACAGCGAUUCGGACUCCUCGUCCUGCAGUAAUAGAGGCAGGAGGAGGAAGUGUGCCAUACCGCCCACACCGUGGACCUUCAGGCAAGGAGCUCAGCUCAAGCAGAAGGGCCUCCUGGAGAGCCACCGGUGGACGGGUGACGGUACCGGCAGCCCUGCGGCAAAGCGGGCUCGCUCAGAUGCCAGCUCUGCAAAUGUGGAGGACUGGUACAGCCCCCCUGUGCUGCCACUGGAGCCCUGUGAGUACUGGCUCCAUGAAGACUGCGGCAUCUGGUCCGCAGGCGUGUUCCUUGUGAAGGGCAAAGUCUACGGACUGGAGGAAGCUGUCAAGGUGGCCCAAGAGACGAUGUGUUCAGCGUGCCGUGAACCCGGUGCUGCGCUAGGCUGCUUCUUCAAAGGCUGUCCCAACAAGUACCACUACAAGUGUGCUCUGGAGUCAGCAGACUGUGUACUCAUUGAAGAAAAUUUCUCCAUGAAGUGUAAAAAGCACAAGAACAAGACAUUCAAAGCCCCUCCAGGGAACAGAUGGGAUGACAGGUGACAAAGUUAGCAGAAACCUCAUGAGGGGCUCUUCUUCCCCCUUCUGCUGGUAACCGUGGCGACAGUGGACCAGGGUUCUUCUGACUGACAGCUAGCACCCGUAAACCUUAACUUCACCUUCUACUCUUCAGCUGCACUGUUAACCCCCGACACGGUGACUUGAGGAGCCCUGUCCCCGAAACCUCCCUCAGUCCAGCAUGACGGUACUCAUCAGCCAAUAACACCUGCGGACUGAGGAAGAAACCUCCCCUCACUUCACUUAAAAGAUGGGACAGAAAAAGGGCUGGAUGGCUGAUAAACGAUCCUCACAGAAGAAGGUACCUGAUUGGACGCUGUCAACUCAACAGGGUUCCAUGGUAAACAUCACACCGUUUUGGAUCUCGCAUAGCAUUAUGUUUUGUUUCACAGAGACUGGUGCAAAAGGCAAGUCAAAUUCACUCAAAUGACACUUGCACCAAACAAUGGGCCCGGGUGAUGACCGAACGGUGUGUGUUUGAAUGUGUUCUCCCCAUGUGAGGGGUUUUUGCAGGAAGCACUUUGGGGCGGCACUGACCUUGUCUGUUCCUCUGCUCUGGCUGCAGUAUUACCUUCUUCACCCCCCAUUCGGCUUCACAAUGCUGGCAUUGAGGAUCUUUGGUUUACAUCAAAGUUAUUUUCAGUGGCAAUACCGAUGCUAGUAUUAAGAUUUCUGAGUUGAUCUGGUGCGAUUUUGUUUCUUGACUUGGGCGUAAAUGGUGCGUUUCCACCAGAACCUUUCUGAAAAAGCCUUAUCUGAUGUUCAAGAGGUAUAUACAGUUUUUCCUAUUCUCACUAGCUUCUGGUGCAAAGACAAAUCAGUGGAUGUACAUCACUUUCCUUUGGACAUCCUGAUGACUGAAGGCAGCUUGCAUUGACUUUUUCUGCUGCAAACUUUGCUGUUAUACCAGGGGCACAGUAGGCCAAUUCGUAAUGAACCCUCCGACCACGCAGGUACACACUGACUCCCUGGGACUUGUGUAAACCAUGAACUGAAAUGAGUUCCAGGUGAAUUAGUACCUGUUCAAUCAGAUGUGGAGGUCAGGGCUUUGGCUGGUCAGCCCGCCUGUUUGUUCUAGAGAAACGUCUGUGUGAUCAGUGUCGGUGUAACGUCUCUAUGUACUUUUCAAUACCGCCAUUAGGGGCAGCCUUGUGCUGUCUGAGACCAUCGUGUGAGGUCUGUUAAGCCAUGGUUGGACGCUAACGGAUAUCCACACAGAGGCAGCUGAAGGCUUCGUCUGCUUCAUAUCUCACCAGCAGCAGCAGGACACAACACGCACUCCCACACAGCCAGGUCUCCUUAUCCUGGAACACCACUUCUCUUUCAUUUGUGCCAUCAUUAAUGUUUUGUUCAUUUUACAUUUUGUUGCAGUAAAAUUAACUUUUUUUAAUUUUUAUUUUUUUUUUAACGAGCAGGUGUGUCAGAGACCCUGAAAUUUUCUCUGCGGUUUCUUUUAGUUACAAGCAGUUGUUUGUUUUGUACCAAAUACAGCUUUUGGAAUAUGUUUUAUUCUUAAAAAAUGUUUUGUUUUGUUUGUUUUUUUUUUAAUAUUUUGUCCGUGUGUUAAUCUCAGGGCUGAAUCUCAGAUAUUCUAAUGAUUUUUAUUUUAUGAAUUUUUUUUUCUUCUUCUUCUUCUUCUCUGGUUUCUCUGUUAACCCCACAUUGACUGGAGCAAUGAUACAUGUAGCAAAGUGUGGUUAUCUCCUCAGAUGCAAACCUUUCUGUCUUGGUACACGCCACCCAUCACAUUCCAAUGCCUACUCCUUGUGUCUGUCAGUGCUGUGGUGUUUUUAGUUUUAACAUGGGACUAGGACUGCCAACUCAUGUCACUUUUUUUUUCUUUUCCUUUUUUAAUUUUAUGGAUUUUUUUUUGUACUGUCUUGCUCACCUCUUGGAGUAUAAGGGGUCAUGUAAUUGUCAAAAAUAAAUAUUUUGUUCAACGUUCUCUGUAAGA